CCAAAAUGUAGCGCGCGAAUAACAUGGGGGACUAAAUGGGAAAUAUUCCUUGCCCACCAAAACAUUGUGUUGCAAUAUGGACCAAAAUGAACAGUAUUCAAAAUAAACGAGGUAAAUUUAAAAAUAAAAAAAUGAAAUUAAAAUAGCGAAAGAAAAUAAAAGGGUCAAUGGCGCAAAUAUCCCCUUUUAGACCCAAAAC
rnacentral:lncRNA from 1 species